rnacentral:misc_RNA from 1 species
AACGCACGAGACCUGCGGACCUGCGGAGGGAUCAUUAGUGAACGCCCUCACGGGCUUAUAACUAUUCCAAACCUCUGUGAACCGUGCCCUUCGGGGCUAUUUUACGAACAUGGUGUAAUGAACGUCAUAUAUCAUAACAAAACAAAACUUUCAACAACGGAUCUCU